rnacentral:rRNA from 1 species
UACGAAGGGUGCAAACGUUGCUCGGAAUUAUUGGGCGUAAAGCGCACGUAGGCGGCUUUGCAAGUCGGAUGUGAAAUCCCUCGGCUUAACCAAGGAAGUGCAUCCGAAACUGCAGAGCUUGAGUACUUAAGAGGAUCGCGGAAUUCCCGGUGUAGAGGUGAAAUUCGUAGAUACCGGGAGGAACACCAGUGGCGAAGGCGGCGAUCUGGGAAGAUACUGACGCUGAGGUGCGAAAGCGUGGGGAGCAAACAGG